UACGGGGGGGGCAAGCGUUGUUCGGAAUUACUGGGCGUAAAGGGCUCGUAGGCGGCCAACUAAGUCAGACGUGAAAUCCCUCGGCUUAACCGGGGAACUGCGUCUGAUACUGGAUGGCUUGAGUUCGGGAGAGGGAUGCGGAAUUCCAGGUUUAGCGGUGAAAUGCGUAGAUAUCGAGAGGAACACCGGUGGCGAAGGCGGCCUUCUGGACAGUGACUGACGCUGAGACGCGAAAGCGUGGGGAGCAAACAGG
rnacentral:rRNA from 1 species